rnacentral:pre_miRNA from 1 species
GGUGACAUUACUGGGUCAUAUAGUAAAUCUAUGUUUAACUUUUAAAGAAAUUGACAUAUUAUUUUCAAAAGUAGCUACAGCAUUGCACAUUCCCACCAGCAGU